rnacentral:rRNA from 1 species
ACACUCCUGCGGGAGGCAGCAGUGGGGAAUUUUGGACAAUGGGCGAAAGCCUGAUCCAGCCAUGCCGCGUGCAGGAUGAAGGCCUUCGGGUUGUAAACUGCUUUUGUACGGAACGAAACGGCCUUUUCUAAUAAAGAGGGCUAAUGACGGUACCGUAAGAAUAAGCACCGGCUAACUACGUGCCAGCAGCCGCGGUAAUAAGUAGGGUGCAAGCGUUAAUCGGAAUUACUGGGCGUAAAGCGUGCGCAGGCGGUUAUGUAAGACAGUUGUGAAAUCCCCGGGCUCAACCUGGGAACUGCAUCUGUGACUGCAUAGCUAGAGUACGGUAGAGGGGGAUGGAAUUCCGCGUGUAGCAGUGAAAUGCGUAGAUAUGCGGAGGAACACCGAUGGCGAAGGCAAUCCCCUGGACCUGUACUGACGCUCAUGCACGAAAGCGUGGGGAGCAAACAGGAUUAGAUACCCGGGUAGUCCC